rnacentral:rRNA from 1 species
UGGGGAAUAUUGCACAAUGGGCGAAAGCCUGAUGCAGCAACGCCGCGUGAGUGAUGAAGGCCUUCGGGUUGUAAAGCUCUGUCUUCUGGGACGAUAAUGACGGUACCAGAGGAGGAAGCCACGGCUAACUACGUGACAGCAGCCGCGGUAAUACGUAGGUGGCAAGCGUUGUCCGGAUUUACUGGGCGUAAAGGAUGCGUAGGCGGAUACUUAAGUCAGAUGUGAAAAUCCCGGGCUUAACUUGGGAACUGCAUUUGAAACUGGGUAUCUAGAGUGCGGGAGAGGAAAGUGGAAUUCCUAGUGUAGCGGUGAAAUGCGUAGAGAUUAGGAAGAACACCAGUGGCGAAGGCGACUUUCUGGACCGUAACUGACGCUGAGGCAUGAAAGCGUGGGGAGCAAACA